CUGGCUCCGGCCUUUCUCCUCCUCUGAGGCCUGGAUCUUCUCUUCGCGACCAGUCUGCCCUUUCCUUCUUUUCCUCACUCGCGAGUCGGCCACCGCCGUUCCCGUUUAGGGAUAGUCUCGCUCGGGCGCCUGCUCGAGGCUGAUCUCAGGGGCUCCGGGCUGCGCAGGGAGGGAGCCGCCUUCCGGAAGAGGACGGUGGGGCGCGAGGGAAGCCAUCGCGGACUAAAUAAGGGAGGCUGCAGCGGCUGCGCGUGCGCCCAGAGGCGCAGCGGGAGGGGGUGCUCUCGGGCGAGCUCUCCGGCCGCGGCCCCCGCCCCUGCGCUGUCGGGCGGGGAGGUCGGAAACCCCCUGGCGAGACCACGGGCGGACGCUUCCCGAAGAGCUGCCUGGGCUGCAGCCGCGGAAGCUGCGUUCUGGGGAGCGGGGAGCGUGCUCCGGCGCCUUCGGGCCGCUGCUGGAAGCCGGAACCGAGCCCGGGCCGCUGCCCCUCACCGGACGCCGCGCGCCACCGGCCCUCCGCGGGGCAGGGGCUGCUGCGAGCUCGCCGGGCGCCCUUUAGACAGUCGUCCUUGUCUACUCCACUACCAAAUGUUGAAGUUCUUCAAGAAUCAGUCCUUUGGAGGCAUUUAAGGAAAUCUGUUUCUCUUUUGGAUCACUAGCUGCAAAUUAAGCUAACAGAACAGGAGCUCAGCUGGUCACACACAGCAACGAAUACAGACUUUAUAAAGUUCAGAAAAGUUACCAAACAGUGGUAACCAUAACAAGUACCAACAAUGAACUAUGGGGAGGGAGGAGAAUCUGAUUUCCAGAGUUACCACAUUAUAAUACUAUUCAAAAUGUCACAUUUUUAGCAAAGAUUACAUGACAAGGAAAAACCAGAAAAGUAUGGCCCAUACACAGGUAAAAAAAGAAAUUAAUAGAAACUACCCCUGAAGAAGCACAGACUUCGGAUGUACAAAACAAAGACUUUUCAUCAACUCUUUUAGAUAUGCUAGAAGAGCUAAAGGAAACCAUGGACAGAGAACAAAAAAAUUAGGAAAGCAAUGUCUCAUCCAAUACAGAAUAUCAAUAAAGAGAUUGAAAUUGUAGAAAAGAACCAAAUAGAAAUUCUGGAGUUGAAAAGUAUUAUAACUAAAACUGAAAAUUCACUAGAGGUAUUCAGCAGCAGACUGGAGAAGUCAGAAGAAAGAAUCAACAGGCUUCAAGAUAGGUCAAUUAAGAUUAUACAGUCUGAGGAGCAGAAAGGAAAAAGAAUGAAGAAAAAUGAACAGAGCAUAAAAGACCUCUGGGACUCUAUCAAGCAUACCAGUAUAUGCAUGAGGGGAGUCCCAGAAGGAGAAGAAAGAGAGAAAGGGACAUAAUAUUUGAAGAAAUAAUGGUAGAAAAUGUCCCAGCUUUGAUGAAAUACAUGAAUCUAGAUAUUCAAGAGGCUCAAAGAACCCUAAAUAGGGUAAACUCAAAAAGACCCACACCGGAAUGCAAAAGUGAGCUGGGUGUGGUGGCACGUGCCUGUGGUCCCAGCUACUCGAGAGGCUAAGGCAGGAAAAUCGCUUGAACCCAGGAGGCAGAGAUUGCGGUGAGCCGGGAUUGCGCCAGUGCACUCCAGCUGGGCGACAGAGCGAGAUUCCAUCUCGAAAAAAAAAAAAAAAAAAAAAAAAAACUAUUGCUGCAGUCAUUCAGAUGGAAAUGGGGAAAGAAUAAUAUUAACUGAUUUCAAAAAGGACUUGAAGAUGUGAAUCAUCUAUUUUGCUGAAGAAAUCUUAACUCUUUGAAAUUACUUUUUGUUGCUGUUGUCAUACUCUUAGGUGCCAAACUGCGGUAAAUUUUUUAUCAGUGAAGUGGAAGCAUGUGUUUUGUUGUUUUGGGAAUUUUUAUCAAGUAUCUUCAGAGAAGAUUAUUUCCUGCUUUAUCUUCAAAAACUGGAAAGGAAGGGUCAAAGAAAAGACAGUAGCUGGCCGGUCAUGGUGGCUCAUGCCUGUAAUCCCAACACUUUGGGAGGCUGAGGUGGGCAGAUCACCUGAGGUUGGGAGUUCGAGGCCAGCCUGACCAACGUGGAGAAAUGCCAUCUCUACUAAAGAUGCAAGGAUUGGCCGGGCGUGGUGGUGCGUGCCUGUGAUCCCAGCUGCUCAGGAGGCUGAGGCAGGAGAAUCGCUUGGACCUGGGAGGUGGAGGUUGCGGUGAGCUGAGAUCACGCCAUUGCACUCCAGCCUGGGCAACAAGCGAAACUCUGUCUCAAAAAAAAAGAAAAGACAGUAGCUUAUGUUCAUGUCAAGCACCUCUCAUCACAGUCUAGUUCCAAGGAAAAAAUUCCCAGCGUUUUCUACAUUCGGUGCUGCGUCAUCUGAAAUCGGCACAUUCCAUGGAGGAAGGAGUCCUGCUUUGUUGCAUGUAUCCUAGGGUUUAAUGUUGGUAAAUGAGUCACUCUAGCAUUUGUAGAAGGCUCCCUGAGACUCCUGCAGCAGUCGACCAAGCCCAAGGACAUAAUUGAAUCUGGAGAGUCCUGGGGCCUUGUUUUGAAAAAGACUUGAAAUACACAUAGGAAGAAAGGCAUAAAAAUAAAUGUUCACUUGUCUCUGCUGUGAGUAUGUGUUCCAACUUUUCAGUGAUGGCUUUGAGAAUUCUCAAACUUGACUGGCUCUAAGUGUAUCUGGUGGCUUUUGUAUCGUAACCUGAAACUGGCUUAGUACUUUUUCCUAAAAGCUCAGGAUUUGAGAAUGAGGACCCCUUCGCCAGGAAAACAUGUAUACACUCAAAAUUUUGCUUGCAGUUCUAGGGUGUUUAGACCUUUCUCAGAUACCUGUGCAUCUUAUGGGUUUUGUUUUUCUCUUUGAGACAGUCUCACCCUGUUGCCCAGGCUGGAGUGCAGUGGCAUGGUCUCAGCUCAUUGCAGCCUCCACCUCCUGGGUUCAAG
rnacentral:lncRNA from 1 species